rfam:Oryza punctata chromosome 6, whole genome shotgun sequence.
AAUAAGUGUAGGUUUACACUAUUUAUAUUUAAUAUUUAAUCAUCCAUCUUAUUUAAAAAAAUUAUUAUUAAUAUUUUUAUUAUUAUUAUCAGAUGAUAAAACAUGAAUAAUGUUUUAUGUGUGACUACUUUUUUAAUUUUUUCAUAAAAUUUUUAAAUAAGAUGGAUGUUAAACGUUAGAUACGGAUAUUCACGGUUGCGCUUAUU